GCUUUAGAGGUGUGGGAUGAGCCCGCGGCCUAUCAGCUUGUUGGUGGGGUGACGGCCUACCAAGGCGACGACGGGUAGCCGGCCUGAGAGGGUGUCCGGCCACACUGGGACUGAGAUACGGCCCAGACUCCUACGGGAGGCAGCAGUGGGGAAUAUUGCACAAUGGGCGCAAGCCUGAUGCAGCGACGCCGCGUGGGGGAUGACGGCCUUCGGGUUGUAAACCUCUUUCACCAUCGACGAAGGUCCGGGUUCUCUCGGAUUGACGGUAGGUGGAGAAGAAGCACCGGCCAACUACGUGCCAGCAGCCGCGGUAAUACGUAGGGUGCGAGCGUUGUCCGGAAUUACUGGGCGUAAAGAGCUCGUAGGUGGUUUGUCGCGUUGUUCGUGAAAUCUCACGGCUUAACUGUGAGCGUGCGGGCGAUACGGGCAGACUAGAGUACUGCAGGGGAGACUGGAAUUCCUGGUGUAGCGGUGGAAUGCGCAGAUAUCAGGAGGAACACCGGUGGCGAAGGCGGGUCUCUGGGCAGUAACUGACGCUGAGGAGCGAAAGCGUGGGGAGCGAACAGGAUUAGAUACCCUGGUAGUCCACGCCGUAAACGGUGGGUACUAGGUGUGGGUUUCCUUCCUUGGGAUCCGUGCCGUAGCUAAUGCAUUAAGUACCCCGCCUGGGGAGUACGGCCGCAAGGCUAAAACUCAAAGGAAUUGACGGGGGCCCGCACAAGCGGCGGAGCAUGUGGAUUAAUUCGAUGCAACGCGAAGAACCUUACCUGGGUUUGACAUGCACAGGACGCGUCUAGAGAUAGGCGUUCCCUUGUGGCCUGUGUGCAG
rnacentral:rRNA from 1 species